rnacentral:rRNA from 1 species
UACGAGGGGGUGCAAGCGUUGCUCGGAAUUAUUGGGCGUAAAGGGUAGGUAGGUGGUCUCAUUUGUCUGGGGUGAAAGCCUUGAGCUUAACUCAAGAAGUGCCCUAGAAACGGUGAGACUGGAGUCUUGGAGAGGGUCGUGGAAUUCCCGGUGUAGCGGUGAAAUGCGUAGAGAUCGGGAGGAACACCAGAGGCGAAGGCGGCGACCUGGACAGUACUGACACUCAACUACGAAAGCGUGGGUAGCAAACAGG